GCGGUCGUGUGCAGAAUUCAAGAAAAUGACUUCGGCUGUGAAAAUUUUUCCGUACUUCCUUCAUUCGAAACUCAAACUCAAAAGUAAGGGGACUAGUUUUGGGUAUAAAAUCCCCCCCCCAACCAAAGUUCGUGUCAGGAGUGACCCCUCAAGGAUUCUACCGGCGUCCGACCUUCGGCGACAUCUUUCCGACGGCCGAGCCUCCGCAGCAUUCCCAAG
rnacentral:lncRNA from 1 species